CGCGGCCUAUCAGCUUGUUGGUGGGGUAAUGGCCUACCAAGGCGACGACGGGUAGCCGGCCUGAGAGGGUGACCGGCCACACUGGGACUGAGACACGGCCCAGACUCCUACGGGAGGCAGCAGUGGGGAAUAUUGCACAAUGGGCGAAAGCCUGAUGCAGCGACGCCGCGUGAGGGAUGACGGCCUUCGGGUUGUAAACCUCUUUCAGCUCUGACGAAGCCUUCGGGUGACGGUAGGAGCAGAAGAAGCACCGGCUAACUACGUGCCAGCAGCCGCGGUAAUACGUAGGGUGCGAGCGUUGUCCGGAAUUAUUGGGCGUAAAGAGCUUGUAGGCGGUUUGUCGCGUCUGCUGUGAAAGCCCGGGGCUUAACCCCGGGUCUGCAGUGGGUACGGGCAGGCUAGAGUGUGGUAGGGGAGACUGGAAUUCCUGGUGUAGCGGUGGAAUGCGCAGAUAUCAGGAGGAACACCGAUGGCGAAGGCAGGUCUCUGGGCCACUACUGACGCUGAGAAGCGAAAGCGUGGGGAGCGAACAGGAUUAGAUACCCUGGUAGUCCACGCCGUAAACGUUGGGCGCUAGGUGUGGGUCCCAUUCCACGGGGUCCGUGCCGCAGCUAACGCAUUAAGCGCCCCGCCUGGGGAGUACGG
rnacentral:rRNA from 1 species